GGCUGUUUGCGCUUCCUUGUGCUGACGUUGGCUCCAAACUGGUGCAGCAGAUACAAGCCUUCAAUCCUGUGAAUGUCUGUGAAAAAUGUCACUAUACACUUCUUUCAGCCACCAACUCAUCUAUCCAUGCCCACCACACUUCCCCAGACAACCUGCAUGUUGAGAGCAUAGAGUUCACCUUACAUAGGACCAUGCUGACCAGCAGCUGCCGUGUGUCUGCUCAGUCUGCUUCUGUCACGGUCACCAGUUUUUUUGACAGUGGCAUCAACUACUGCAACCUCUACAACCUGCUGACAGCGAGCGGCCUCAACGUAGCACCGGGGUUCAUAGAGAUGACCAGUGAAUGGGCUUGUCUUGGCUACGGAUUCGCCACCUGUAGAACCUAAAAAGCUGGAAAUAAUAUAGAAGCACGGCCUGUUGCAUCAUGCUUCGUGCUUUGUGAAAUGUGUUCUACUCAUGCUGACGUGUGUCAUGAAUUGCCCCGCUGCCUGUGACUCUGCUCUGCACACCCGAGUCACUCUUUCGUCAUUGAUACACAUGACAUGUAGGAAUUCCUAUUUAAUAUGGUUAAAUGUCAUCAAUUCACAUCCAGACUUUGUUGAUAUAAUAUACAAUUCAU